rnacentral:rRNA from 1 species
GUCUAUGGCCAUGCUACCCUGAACAAGCCCGAUCCCAUCUGAUCUCAGAAGCUAAGCAGGGUUGGGCCUGGUUAGUACUUGGAUGGGAGACCACCUAGGAAACCAGGUGCUGUAGGCG